rnacentral:rRNA from 1 species
CGCUGGCGGCGUGCUUAACACAUGCAAGUCGAACGGAAAGGCCCUGCUUUUGUGGGGUGCUCGAGUGGCGAACGGGUGAGUAACACGUGAGUAACCUGCCCUUGACUUUGGGAUAACUUCAGGAAACUGGGGCUAAUACCGGAUAGGAGCUCCUGCUGCAUGGUGGGGGUUGGAAAGUUUCGGCGGUUGGGGAUGGACUCGCGGCUUAUCAGCUUGUUGGUGGGGUAGUGGCUUACCAAGGCUUUGACGGGUAGCCGGCCUGAGAGGGUGACCGGCCACAUUGGGACUGAGAUACGGCCCAGACUCCUACGGGAGGCAGCAGUGGGGAAUAUUGCACAAUGGGCGGAAGCCUGAUGCAGCAACGCCGCGUGCGGGAUGACGGCCUUCGGGUUGUAAACCGCUUUCGCCUGUGACGAAGCGUGAGUGACGGUAAUGGGUAAAGAAGCACCGGCUAACUACGUGCCAGCAGCCGCGGUGAUACGUAGGGUGCGAGCGUUGUCCGGAUUUAUUGGGCGUAAAGGGCUCGUAGGUGGUUGAUCGCGUCGGAAGUGUAAUCUUGGGGCUUAACCCUGAGCGUGCUUUCGAUACGGGUUGACUUGAGGAAGGUAGGGGAGAAUGGAAUUCCUGGUGGAGCGGUGGAAUGCGCAGAUAUCAGGAGGAACACCAGUGGCGAAGGCGGUUCUCUGGGCCUUUCCUGACGCUGAGGAGCGAAAGCGUGGGGAGCGAACAGGCUUAGAUACCCUGGUAGUCCACGCUGUAAACGGUGGGUACUAGGUGUGGGGUCCAUUCCACGGGUUCCGUGCCGUAGCUAACGCUUUAAGUACCCCGCCUGGGGAGUACGGCCGCAAGGCUAAAACUCAAAGGAAUUGACGGGGCCCCGCACAAGCGGCGGAGCAUGCGGAUUAAUUCGAUGCAACGCGUAGAACCUUACCUGGGUUUGACAUGGAUCGGGAGUGCUCAGAGAUGGGUGUGCCUCUUUUGGGGUCGGUUCACAGGUGGUGCAUGGCUGUCGUCAGCUCGUGUCGUGAGAUGUUGGGUUAAGUCCCGCAACGAGCGCAACCCUUGUUCACUGUUGCCAGCACGUUAUGGUGGGGACUCAGCGGAGACCGCCGGGGUCAACUCGGAGGAAGGUGGGGAUGACGUCAAGUCAUCAUGCCCCUUAUGUCCAGGGCUUCACGCAUGCUACAAUGGCUGGUACAGAGAGUGGCGAGCCUGUGAGGGUGAGCGAAUCUCGGAAAGCCGGUCUCAGUUCGGAUUGGGGUCUGCAACUCGACCUCAUGAAGUCGGAGUCGCUAGUAAUCGCAGAUCAGCAACGCUGCGGUGAAUACGUUCCCGGGGCUUGUACACACCGCCCGUCAAGUCAUGAAAGUUGGUAACACCCGAAGCCGGUGGCCUAACCGUUGUGGGGGAGCCGUCGAAGGUGGGACUGGUGAA